rnacentral:rRNA from 1 species
UACGUGGGGUGCGAGCGUUGUCCGGAAUUAUUGGGCGUAAAGAGCUCGUAGGCGGUGUGUCACGUCGUUCGUGAAAAACCUGCAGCUUAACUGUGGGCGUGCGGUCGAUACGGGCAUCACUGGAGUUCGGCAGGGGAGACUGGAAUUCCUGGUGUAGCGGUGAAAUGCGCAGAUAUCAGGAGGAACACCGGUGGCGAAGGCGGGUCUCUGGGCCGAUACUGACGCUGAGGCACGAAAGCGUGGGGAGCAAACAGG